UUACUACUUGCAUUAUUUUGUGGGUCGAUGAUGAAGGGCUUUAGAAUCAUAGCCGUUGUUGGCUUAGCGUUAUUGUUUGUCGCUAACCGAAAGCAAAGAUGGUACAAUUUGCAUAAAGGCAUCCCGUAUCCCAUACUAGGACCGACCAUUUAAAGUGAAACCUCGCAAUAAAGUUCCUUCGUAAUGUUAUCUUCGUUGAGAAUCUCUAAAAUCCAUCGUAAGAUAUCUUAUAAGGUGUGAUAUGCGUUGACGUCUUCGGAAUCCAAGGAUAUUGGCUGACUUUCUUCUCCGCAAAGCCGUGAAUUGUAUCUCCAGAAAGGGUCAGUAUGGUCAAUAUAGUAACUGCAAAAUAAAGAAC